CCUACGGGUGGCAGCAGUGGGGAAUAUUGCACAAUGGGCGAAAGCCUGAUGCAGCAAAGUCGCGUGAGCGAUUAAUGCCUUCUGGUCGUAAAGCUCUGUCCUCAAGGAAGAUAAUGACGGUACUUGAGGAGGAAGCCCCGGCUAACUACGUGCCAGCCGACGCGGUAAUACGUAGGAGGCUCGCGUUAUCCGGAAUUACUGGGCGUAAAGGGGGCGUAGGUGGAUUCUUAAGUCAGAGGUGAAAGGCUACGGCUCAACCGUAGUAAGCCGUUGAAACUGGGAAACUUGAGUGCAGGAGAGGAGUGUGGAAUGCCUAGUGUAGCGGUGAAAUGCGUAGAUAUUAGGAGGAACACCAGUUGCGAAGGCGGCUCUCUGGACCGUAACUGACACUGAGGCACGAAAGCGUGGGGAGCAAACAGGAUUAGAUACCCGAGUAGUC
rnacentral:rRNA from 1 species